UACGAAGGGGGCUAGCGUUGUUCGGAAUCACUGGGCGUAAAGCGCACGUAGGCGGAUUUUUAAGUCAGGGGUGAAAUCCCGGGGCUCAACCUCGGAACUGCCUUUGAUACUGGAGAUCUUGAGUCCGGAAGAGGUAAGUGGAACUGCGAGUGUAGAGGUGAAAUUCGUAGAUAUUCGCAAGAACACCAGUGGCGAAGGCGGCUGACUGGUCCGGUUCUGACGCUGAGGCGCGAAAGCGUGGGGAGCAAACAGG
rnacentral:rRNA from 1 species